ensembl:lncRNA
GCUGCGCGCUCGUUUGAAUUUCUAUUUAUUUUUUGUGUGUGUGACGGCUGUGUGGGGAGACGAGGAGCCGAGCCUGUUGGCGCCACUUUCAAAUCCUCCACUGACACAGAAUGAGAGUCCGGCUCAAAUACAUUUUCCCACCAGCUUACUUCUCCUUUUAAUCAUUAAUAUAGGGUGAGGAAUAUCUUAACACAAUUUCACGUUUGGACCGUUUUUUCCCUGAAAGAGUUUUAGGAGAUAACUGAUUAAGUUGAGGAAGCGGACACUCCCCCAGUGCCAGCACCCUCCCCGAAAGACCCCAGCCCACUGGCCGCUCACUGCCUACUAAAUACGCAUCCAAAGUGAGGGGAGAAAGAUGGGCCUGGAGGUAACUGGUGUUCUUAGUGCCUCCAUCAGUUGCAAAUGAUCUCAGCAGCAGACGUCAGGUGUGGUGAUCACGGGCCAUGAAUCCUUCCUCUCCUGGCCUCAAAUGUUGUUUCAGCUUUGCAGUAGACAAAGGCAGCAGGUUUGGAGUCACAUUAUACAUCUAAUUUACACUGUAUCUAUUGCAUGUCAUUGUGGAAAAAACUGUUAAUUCAUUGACCAUUCUAAUUAGAUAAUUGAUACAUGUUUGGGCAACAACAAUUUGGUUUAAGUCUCUUAAAUAUGAGCAUUGAACUGUCUUAUAUCAUUCAAAAUUAAACAUGUUUGGAUUUUUGCCCACUGGUUCGACCAAACACGCAUUUAAAAACAUUGCUUUAGGAAUUCUGCAUUAUUUUGUUGAUAUCUUGAGAAUAAUUGAGUUAAUCAAGACAUGUGCAGAUGAAUUUCUAAUAUAACCAAAGGUUAGUUGCAGCCCAACUAAUGCUAUUUAUAGUCAAGUUUGAUGUUGAAAUGAGCUAUUCAUGUCAAACGAUAGAAAAUAUCACUAUUUUUAUUGAUGUCAUUUGUCAAGUAAAAAUGUUACAUUUGGCUAUGUCUGACAAAAAGUCAUUAUAUAAAUAAACAAACAUUGUUAUUUUUGUCUGUCCCUUAAACCAGAUAUGGUAGACUAGAUUUAUGUUUUUUUUUUAUAUAUUCCCUUUUAAAUUAUCCGACUUCAUUUGUCAAGUACUCUAAAGCAGACUCUGGAAUUUGAUCUAUUAACCAUUUCUCAAUUGAUUUCCCAGAAAUUGUAUGAUAUUACGAUAUACCUAUGAAAUGUAAAUAAAUUAAAAGAAUAUGAAAGACUAUUUUACCUGUACAGUAAAAAAACAACAGCUUUAUUUCACACAGCCGGGCUCCAUUCUGCUGUGAAGCUCUUUAUUGGCCCCCAGACGGCUCCGCUCUAUGAGAGAAGCUCUUGGACUGUGUGGUGGAGCUGCUGCAUUCUGCACUCGUGGCUCAGCUCUGCUUUUCCCUUAAUGUGCCUUUAAAAUGACUGCUUGUGGAGCCCCUUUGCUUCAAAAUCAAAUUUAUAUAUAGGCCUUUUAUAUUUUUGGAUACUUUUAUUCAUUCAUUUACAUUUAUCACAUAAUAAUGUGAUGUUUUUUUUUUUUCUUUAUUUCAUGUUAAUAGAAUCUAUUUUAUCCAAUGAAACCAUACCUUAAAAGACGUCACUCUGGUGGCCACUUU